rnacentral:rRNA from 1 species
UACGAAGGGGGCUAGCGUUGCUCGGAAUCACUGGGCGUAAAGCGCACGUAGGCGGAUCGUUAAGUCAGGGGGUGAAAUCCUGGAGCUCAACUCCAGAACUGCCUUUGAUACUGGCGAUCUUGAGUUCGGGAGAGGUGAGUGGAACUGCGAGUGUAGAGGUGAAAUUCGUAGAUAUUCGCAAGAACACCAGUGGCGAAGGCGGCUCACUGGCCCGAUACUGACGCUGAGGUGCGAAAGCGUGGGGAGCAAACAGG